GAUGAACGCUCGCGACAGGCCUAACACAUGCAAGUCGAGGGGCAGCACAUGAGUAGCAAUACGAUGGUGGCGACCGGCGCACGGGUGAGUAACACGUAUGCAACCUGCCUUCCACUAUGGGAUAACCCGUUGAAAGACGGACUAAUACCGUCUAAUUCAGAGGCACCGCGUGGAGAUUUGUGUUAAAGAUUCAUUGGUAGAAGAAGGGCAUGCGUAUGAUUGGAUAGUUGGUGAGGUAACGGCGCACCAAGUCAACGAUCAUUAGGGGUUCUGAGGGGAAGGUCCCCCACACUGGUACUGAGACACGGACCAGACUGCCACGGGAGGCAGAAGUGAGGAAUAUUGGGCAAUGCACGAGAGUCUGAACCAGCCAAGUCGCGUGAAGGAAGACGGUUCUAUGAAUUGUAAACUUCUUUUGUGCAGGAAUAAAGUGGGUUACGUGUAACCUUUUGUAUGUACUGUACGAAUAAGGAUCGGCUAACUCCGUGCCAGCAGCCGCAGUAAGAC
rnacentral:rRNA from 1 species